rnacentral:tRNA from 1 species
GCCUCGAUAGCUCAGCAGGUAGAGCAGCGGACUGAAAAUCCGCGUGUCGGUGGUUCGACUCCGCCUCGAGGCACCA